rnacentral:rRNA from 1 species
ACUAAGCGUACACGGUGGAUGCCCUGGCAGUCAGAGGCGAUGAAGGACGUGCUAAUCUGCGAUAAGCGCCGGUAAGGUGAUAUGAACCGUUAUAACCGGCGAUUUCCGAAUGGGGAAACCCAGUGUGAUUCGUCACACUAUCAUUAACUGAAUCCAUAGGUUAAUGAGGCGAACCGGGGGAACUGAAACAUCUAAGUACCCCGAGGAAAAGAAAUCAACCGAGAUUCCCCCAGUAGCGGCGAGCGAACGGGGAGGAGCCCAGAGCCUGAAUCAGCAUGUGUGUUAGUGGAAGCGUCUGGAAAGGCGCGCGAUACAGGGUGACAGCCCCGUACACAAAAGCGCAUGUGCUGUGAGCUCGAUGAGUAGGGCGGGACACGUGGUAUCCUGUCUGAAUAUGGGGGGACCAUCCUCCAAGGCUAAAUACUCCUGACUGACCGAUAGUGAACCAGUACCGUGAGGGAAAGGCGAAAAGAACCCCGGCGAGGGGAGUGAAAAAGAACCUGAAACCGUGUACGUACAAGCAGUGGGAGCACAGGUUUACCUGUGUGACUGCGUACCUUUUGUAUAAUGGGUCAGCGACUUAUAUUCUGUAGCAAGGUUAACCGAAUAGGGGAGCCGGAGGGAAACCGAGUCUUAAUUGGGCGUUAAGUUGCAGGGUAUAGACCCGAAACCCGGUGAUCUAGCCAUGGGCAGGUUGAAGGUUGGGUAACACUAACUGGAGGACCGAACCGACUAAUGUUGAAAAAUUAGCGGAUGACCUGUGGCUGGGGGUGAAAGGCCAAUCAAACCGGGAGAUAGCUGGUUCUCCCCGAAAGCUAUUUAGGUAGCGCCUCGUGAAUUCAUCUCCGGGGGUAGAGCACUGUUUCGGCUAGGGGGCCAUCCCGGCUUACCAACCCGAUGCAAACUGCGAAUACCGGAGAAUGUUAUCACGGGAGACACACGGCGGGUGCUAACGUCCGUCGUGAAGAGGGAAACAACCCAGACCGCCAGCUAAGGUCCCAAAGUCAUGGUUAAGUGGGAAACGAUGUGGGAAGGCCCAGACAGCCAGGAUGUUGGCUUAGAAGCAGCCAUCAUUUAAAGAAAGCGUAAUAGCUCACUGGUCGAGUCGGCCUGCGCGGAAGAUGUAACGGGGCUAAACCAUGCACCGAAGCUGCGGCAGCGAACGUAUCACCCAAGACAACUUUACGGAGUUGACGAUUGACGGAGCGAAGCGACGUCAAAGCGUUCAUUAAAGUCGAGUUGGCUUAGGGAUACGUUCGUUGGGUAGGGGAGCGUUCUGUAAGCCUGUGAAGGUGUGUCGUGAGGCAUGCUGGAGGUAUCAGAAGUGCGAAUGCUGACAUAAGUAACGAUAAAGCGGGUGAAAAGCCCGCUCGCCGGAAGACCAAGGGUUCCUGUCCAACGUUAAUCGGGGCAGGGUGAGUCGACCCCUAAGGCGAGGCCGAAAGGCGUAGUCGAUGGGAAACGGGUUAAUAUUCCCGUACUUGGUGUUACUGCGAAGGGGGGACGGAGAAGGCUAUGUUGGCCGGGCGACGGUUGUCCCGGUUUAAGCGUGUAGGUGUGUGUUCCAGGUAAAUCCGGUUCACUUUAACACUGAGGCGUGACGACGAGGCACUACGGUGCUGAAGCAACAAAUGCCCUGCUUCCAGGAAAAGCCUCUAAGCAUCAGGUAACACGAAAUCGUACCCCAAACCGACACAGGUGGUCAGGUAGAGAAUACCAAGGCGCUUGAGAGAACUCGGGUGAAGGAACUAGGCAAAAUGGUGCCGUAACUUCGGGAGAAGGCACGCUGACACGUAGGUGAAGUGAUUUACUCAUGGAGCUGAAGUCAGUCGAAGAUACCAGCUGGCUGCAACUGUUUAUUAAAAACACAGCACUGUGCAAACACGAAAGUGGACGUAUACGGUGUGACGCCUGCCCGGUGCCGGAAGGUUAAUUGAUGGGGUCAGCGCAAGCGAAGCUCCUGAUCGAAGCCCCGGUAAACGGCGGCCGUAACUAUAACGGUCCUAAGGUAGCGAAAUUCCUUGUCGGGUAAGUUCCGACCUGCACGAAUGGCGUAAUGAUGGCCAGGCUGUCUCCACCCGAGACUCAGUGAAAUUGAACUCGCUGUGAAGAUGCAGUGUACCCGCGGCAAGACGGAAAGACCCCGUGAACCUUUACUAUAGCUUGACACUGAACAUUGAGCCUUGAUGUGUAGGAUAGGUGGGAGGCUUUGAAGUGUGGACGCCAGUCUGCAUGGAGCCGACCUUGAAAUACCACCCUUUAAUGUUUGAUGUUCUAACGUGGACCCGUAAUCCGGGUUGCGGACAGUGUCUGGUGGGUAGUUUGACUGGGGCGGUCUCCUCCUAAAGAGUAACGGAGGAGCACGAAGGUUGGCUAAUCCUGGUCGGACAUCAGGAGGUUAGUGCAAUGGCAUAAGCCAGCUUGACUGCGAGCGUGACGGCGCGAGCAGGUGCGAAAGCAGGUCAUAGUGAUCCGGUGGUUCUGAAUGGAAGGGCCAUCGCUCAACGGAUAAAAGGUACUCCGGGGAUAACAGGCUGAUACCGCCCAAGAGUUCAUAUCGACGGCGGUGUUUGGCACCUCGAUGUCGGCUCAUCACAUCCUGGGGCUGAAGUAGGUCCCAAGGGUAUGGCUGUUCGCCAUUUAAAGUGGUACGCGAGCUGGGUUUAGAACGUCGUGAGACAGUUCGGUCCCUAUCUGCCGUGGGCGCUGGAGAACUGAGGGGGGCUGCUCCUAGUACGAGAGGACCGGAGUGGACGCAUCACUGGUGUUCGGGUUGUCAUGCCAAUGGCACUGCCCGGUAGCUAAAUGCGGAAGAGAUAAGUGCUGAAAGCAUCUAAGCACGAAACUUGCCCCGAGAUGAGUUCUCCCUGAGACUUAGAGUCUCCUGAAGGAACGUUGAAGACGACGACGUUGAUAGGCCGGGUGUGUAAGCGCAGCGAUGCGUUGAGCUAACCGGUACUAAUGAACCGUGAGGCUUAACC